rnacentral:rRNA from 1 species
AUUGAACGCUGGCGGCAGGCCUAACACAUGCAAGUCGAACGAGUGGCGGACGGGUGAGUAAUAUAUGGGAAACUGCCCAGUAGCGGGGGAUAACUACUGGAAACGGUAGCUAAUACCGCAUACCAUCGGAUGUGCCCAGAUGGGAUUAGCUAGUGGGUGGGGUAACGGCUCACCUAGGCGACGAUCCCUAGCUGGUCUGAGAGGAUGACCAGCCACACUGGAACUGAGACACGGUCCAGACUCCUACGGGAGGCAGCAGUGGGGAAUAUUGGACAAUGGGCGAAAGCCUGAUGCAGCCAUGCCGCGUGUAUGAAGAAGGCCUUCGGGUUGUAAAGUACUUUCAGCGGGGAGGCGGUACUCGCAGAAGAAGCACCGGCUAACUCCGUGCCAGCCGCCGCGGUAAUAC